rnacentral:lncRNA from 1 species
AGAUGAAAUGUGAUUGCAAAAGUGCUGCCAAAGUAAUUGAAUGAAGAAAAUUACAUAUUUGAAUCUUCUACUUCAAAAAUGAAAAACUGAAGUUUCCCGUUGGCUUUUAAAAUGUUAUGUCUGUCUAACAGGAAAAGACAAUCAGCAUCAAGGUUCUUACAGUGAGGGGGCUCAGAUGAAUGGCAUUCAGCCAGAAGAAAUUGGUAGAUUGCGAGAAGAGAUAGAAGAAUUAAAACGUAAUCAGGAACUUUUACAAAGCCAGCUGACUGAAAAGGACUCUAUGAUUGAAAAUAUGAAAUCUUCCCAAACAUCUGGCACAAAUGAACAGUCUUCAGCAAUAGUUUCAGCUAGAGAUUCUGAACAAG